GGGGAAUUUUCCGCAAUGGGCGAAAGCCCGACGGAGCAAUACCGCGUGAGGGAUGAAGCAUCGUGGUGUGUAAACCUCUUUUCUUAACGAAGAAGUCCUGACGGUAGUUAAGGAAUAAGCACCGGCUAACUCCGUGCCAGCAGCCGCGGUAAUACGGGGGGUGCAAGCGUUGUCCGGAAUGAUUGGGCGUAAAGCAUCUGUAGGUGGUUUUUAAAGUCGACUGUUAAAGCCCAGGGCUCAACUUUGGAUAAGCGGUCGAGUACUUAAGGACUUGAGUUUGAUAGGGGUAACAGGAAUUCCCAGUGUAGCGGUGAAAUGCGUAGAUAUUGGGAAGAACACCAGCGGCGAAAGCGUGUUACUGGGUCUGCACUGACACUGAGGGACGAAAGCUAGGGGAGCGAAAAGGAUUAGAUACCCCAGUAGUC
rnacentral:rRNA from 1 species